UUCAAUAUUAACGUAAGUUUUCUUUCACUUUGAGUUAGAUUAGUUCUUUAAAUUUUUUUCUUAAGACUUACAAUAAUGUUGCUCUACUAAUUUGUUUAAAAUUUUUCACCUUUUCAUCUACAUCAAUUUACAACUAUAACUCUCUUUUUGGCUUAGUGUUCUCUUACAUUGAAUAUUUUUCUUACAUGAAUGUAGUUUCAAAAGAGUGUUACUUUAUCAUCAUAAGAAAAGUGCUACUUUUACUAUGUUCGAUAUUUCAUUAACUUUGUUACUUUUUCAUUCAACAGUGGUUCAAUCUAGUUUGAUACUAUACUAAACGCGAGAAUGUCAUCCUCAAAAACUAAAACAAUUGACAAGAACUUGGAGAAGUUGGUAGAUACGAGAGAACAAAUACGCAAGCAAGAAGCCGACCUUCGAAAUUCUAAUGUGCAGCAAGAAAGUGUGAAAGAUAAAUAUGAGGCUAGUAGUGAUCUUUGGAAGUUAAAAGACAAGACAAGCACGAAGACCAAUUGGAGAAAAAAGGAAUUACUAAAAGAAUGAUAUAACCUAUUUAUUUAUUUAUUAUCUUUUAGUUAUCAAUAAAAUAUUUAGAUGCUACUAAUUAAGUUCAAGGAUAUGUUUAGGUUGUAG
rnacentral:lncRNA from 1 species